UACGUAGGGUCCGAGCGUUGUCCGGAAUUAUUGGGCGUAAAGAGCUCGUAGGCGGUUUGUCGCGUCUGCCGUGAAAGUCCGGGGCUCAACUCCGGAUCUGCGGUGGGUACGGGCAGACUAGAGUGAUGUAGGGGGAGACUGGAAUUCCUGGUGUAGCGGUGAAAUGCGCAGAUAUCAGGAGGAACACCGGUGGCGAAGGCGGAUCUCUGGGCCAUUACUGACGCUGAGGAGCGAAAGCGUGGGGAGCGAACAGG
rnacentral:rRNA from 1 species